rnacentral:tRNA from 1 species
GCCAGCAUGGUGUAGUGGUUUGAGCAUUGGACUAUGAUUCUGGAGACCAAGGUUCAAAUCCUGCCUUGGCC